rnacentral:rRNA from 1 species
GACGAACGCUGGCGGCGUGCUUAACACAUGCAAGUCGAGCGGAAAGGCCACUUCGGUGGUACUCGAGCGGCGAACGGGUGAGUAACACGUGAGUAAUCUGCCCCUGGCUUUGGGAUAGCCACCGGAAACGGUGAUUAAUACCGGAUACGACCACUUCUCGCAUGGGAUGGUGGUGGAAAGUUUUUUCGGCCAGGGAUGUGCUCGCGGCCUAUCAGCUUGAUGGUGAGGUAAUGGCUCACCAUGGCUUCGACGGGUAGCCGGCCUGAGAGGGUGACCGGUCACACUGGGACUGAGACACGGCCCAGACUCCUGCGGGAGGCAUCAGUGGGGAAUAUUUGACAAUGGGCGGAAGCCUGAUCCAGCAACGCCGCGUGAGGUAUGACGGCCUUCUGGUUGUAAACCUCUUUCAGCAGGGACGGAGCGCAAGUGACGGUACCUGCAGAAGAAGCACCGGCCAACUACGUGCCAGCCGCCGCCGUAA